GUUUCACGGCGCACACGAUGCAAAACAUCCUCAGACAUGUCAUCUCUAUACUUAACCUACAAAUCUUUUGGAUUCGAGGGGAAACAUGUUGAUAUGAUAAUGGCAAACAGUGUACGAAUUUGAUGCGGCGAUGACAAUAUUACGGAAUCCUUAGCGUAUCAUCCAAGUGCGAAUCGUUCUCAAGUAAAUGUAAUAAUUGGCAUGCCUCACGAUGGAUCCAUAAUCAAAAAGCAUAUCAUCAUAUCAUUUUGACGUAUGGAGAUUAUGCCCAAAGACCGCAUUAGAGGGCACAUUGAGAGAGGAGAGAAUAUCUAAGACAUCGCUUCAAUUAAUAUUUGCGUGGUGUGGUUGUGGGAAUCCUUUACAGACCCGGCGACACGUUUUUGUGGCUAAGGUAUACAUUAAAUUAAGUUGGUCCAAUCUUGGCUUCGGCGACGAUAUUGAUUACUCGAGGUUGAUUUAUGUUACGCAGCAUGAUUACAACUCACACUACUUUUAAUUGCAAAAUACAGGCAAUUUUAAAUAGUUUGGGAUAAUUGACUAUGUCAUCCUGGUUAGUAGCUGUGUCAACUCUCUUGGACCGAAAUUCUAAAUUGGCGCUUGAAGAUCGUCGAUAUUUUUUUUACCACCAAUAUAGGUCAUUAAUCAGUCAUUUAUGGUUAUCAUAUUGAGGUUUCAUGUCAGGAAAACUUCUCUUUCGAGUCAAUGAAGUGAAAGAAAUCUGUUGGAAAUGCUAUUAAUCCAUCGAGGUGUCAACUGCCAACUAUUUUUACAAUCGCAAUUUGGUAUUCAAAAAUUUCAAAAUUUUUAACUCGUGAUAUCUUUUGAAUGGUAUGUCAGAAUCUAAUAAUUCAAAAAGUUAUAUAAAGGUUUUGAA